rfam:Triticum aestivum genome assembly, contig: Triticum_aestivum_CS42_TGACv1_scaffold_224046_3B
UUUAUACUCCCUCCGUCCGGAAAUACUUGUUAUUAAAAUGGAUAAAAGGUAUCCAUUUUGAUGACAAGUAUUUUCGGACGGAGGGAGUACCUG